rnacentral:misc_RNA from 1 species
CGUUGAGGUGACAUCAUCUGGG